rnacentral:rRNA from 1 species
CGCCUGGGGAGUACGGCCGCAAGGUUAAAACUCAAAUGAAUUGACGGGGGCCCGCACAAGCGGUGGAGCAUGUGGUUUAAUUCGACGCAACGCGAAGAACCUUACCUGGCCUUGACAUCCAGAGAACUUUCCAGAGAUGGAUUGGUGCCUUCGGGAACUCUGAGACAGGUGCUGCAUGGCCGUCGUCAGCUCGUGUCGUGAGAUGUUGGGUUAAGUCCCGUAACGAGCGCAACCCCUAUCCCUGGUUGCUAGCAGGUAAUGCUGAGAACUCCAGGGAGACUGCCGGUGACAAACCGGAGGAAGGUGGGGAUGACGUCAGGUCAUCAUGGCCCUUACGGCCAGGGCAACACACGUGCUACAAUGGCGCGUACAGAGGGCUGCCAACUCGCGAGAGUGAGCCAAUCCCUUAAAACGCGUCGUAGUCCGGAUCGGAGUCUGCAACUCGACUCCGUGAAGUCGGAAUCGCUAGUAAUCGCGAAUCAGAAUGUCGCGGUGAAUACGUUCCCGGGCCUUGUACACACCGCCCGUCACACCAUGGGAGUGGAUUGCACCAGAAGUAGUUAGUCUAACCUUCGGGAGGACGAUUACCACGGUGUGGUUCAUGACUGGGGUGAAGUCGUAACAAGGUAACCGUA